GACGAACGCUGGCGGCGUGCCUAACACAUGCAAGUCAACUUGACUGAAGGAGCAAUCUGACAGUAGAGUGGCGCAAGGGUGCGUAACGCGUAAGUAACUUGCCCCAAGGUAAGGAAUAACGUCGAGAAAUCGGCGCUAAUACCUCAUAAUGCAGCGGAUCCGCAUGGAUAUGUUGUUAAAGGUUUACCGCCUUGGGAUAGGCUUGCGUCUGAUUAGCUAGUUGGUGUGGUAACGGCACACCAAGGCUACGAUCAGUAACUGGUCUGAGAGGAUGAUCAGUCACACUGGAACUGAGACACGGUCCAGACUCCUACGGGAGGCAGCAGUGAGGAAUAUUGGGCAAUGCUCGAAAGAGUGACCCAGCAACGCCGCGUGGAGGAUGAAGGUAUUCUAUAUCGUAAACUCCUGUGAGAGCAGACGAAAGACAGAUUAUUAAUCUGGAUGACUGUAUGCUCAGAGGAAGCCCCGGCUAAAC
rnacentral:rRNA from 1 species